GGAGGCUCUGGCCGCGGCCGCCGCGCUCUAUGCCCCGCCCCUGCUCGCCGAGCCCUGCCUCUCCGGAUCUCCAGCCAUGUAUGCUGCCGAGGACCCUGCAGGUCCAAGCUCGUCAGCGAGGGGGAGCGCAGACAGCAGCCUAGCCCGUCAGUAACAUGGCAGUAAGCCUCUUCUCCCCUUCUCAGUUUACAGCAGUGUGCCGCACUCUUCCAGGCUCCUUUCCCCCGUCGUCAACACACCGAUUCAGAGGUAGAGGUUGACUUGCAGCUCGUGGACACAGAGGAGGAAGCCUAAGAUCAAUCACAAGUUGUUAUGAUUGUUCUCAGCCAGUGAUGCAUAGGGGAAUUGUUUGCUCAUCUAUGUGUUAAUCUAGACCUCUUCAUCAACGACUUCAACAAGGACGAGAUCAAGCUGCGUCUACGCUGCUCUGUCCACCACAACAAUUUUGGAAUGCAUUAACUUUUAUCUGCCCAGGUUGAAUCCUUCAUUCCUCAUUCUCAUCCUUAUUUCUUGAUGUUGGGCAAGGCACUUUAGAUGAGUUGCUAACUUCAAAAGGCUUCAGUUCUAGCUAGAAGAAAUUUUCCCUAGGAAUAUUUUAUCAGUUUUGUGGUCAAUCAACUGGUGUUACAAUAAAAGCAAGAAAGUGAUGCAUGUUCUUUGGGAUAUAUGUACUGGAAAUAUAUGAACAUUUUUGGCCCAAAAUCACAAGGCCCCACUAAAUUAUUGGCCAUUUGGCCUCAUGAUUUUGAUGAUAAUCGUUCUACCAUGAAAUAUUUCUUCCGCUAGCAUUUCAAUAGUACUGUGUGAUGUAGCCAUAUACAUCUGAAUCAUUGGAUAACAAGAGUGUACUUAUCCCCUUUACAUAUUCUUUAUUGACAUUUACAUUGAAUUAUAAGCUAAGUGCUUAGUCUUUCAUUACCUGCAGGCAGGAACAUGAGCAUGCAUAUCUCGGAGUUCGCAAGAAGGCGUUGACCCCCUUAAUAUAUUGAUGCUCUCUGCCAGAAACCAAAU
rnacentral:lncRNA from 1 species